UUUUUUAAUGAGAGUUUGAUCCUGGCUCAGGAUGAACGCUGGCGGCAUGCCUAAUACAUGCAAGUCGAACGGGUGCUUGCACCCAGUGGCGAACGGGUGAGUAACACGUAUCUAAUCUACCAUUAGCGGGGAUAACAGUUGGAAACGACUGCUAAUACCGCAUACGACAUUUUCUGGCAUCAGAGAAUGUUAAAAGGUCCGUUUGGAUCACUAAUGGAUGAGGAUGCGGCGUAUUAGUUAGUUGGUGGGGUAAUGGCCUACCAAGACAAUGAUACGUAGCCGAACU
rnacentral:rRNA from 1 species